rnacentral:rRNA from 1 species
GAUGAACGCUAGCGGCAGGCCUAAUACAUGCAAGUCGAGGGGCAGCGCGGUAGCAAUACUGGCGGCGACCGGCGCACGGGUGCGUAACACGUAUGCAACCUACCUUCAACUGGAGGAUAGCCCGGGGAAACUCGGAUUAAUACUCCAUAACACAGGGAUCCCGCAUGGGAAUAUUGUUAAAGCUACGGCGGUUGAAGAUGGGCAUGCGUUCGAUUAGCUAGUUGGUGUAGGUAACGGCUCACCAAGGCUACGAUCGAUAGGGGGUCUGAGAGGAUGAUCCCCCACACUGGUACUGAGAUACGGACCAGACUCCUACGGGAGGCAGCAGUAGGGAAUAUUGGUCAAUGGGCGCAAGCCUGAACCAGCCAUGCCGCGUGCAGGAAGAAGGCCCUCUGGGUUGUAAACUGCUUUUGAUAGGGAACAAAGUGCCACUUGCGAGUGGAGCUGAGUGUACCUAUAGAAUAAGCACCGGCUAACUCCGUGCCAGCAGCCGCGUAA